rnacentral:lncRNA from 1 species
GCUCUCUCUCCAUCUAUCAAAUAAAAUAUUUUUAGGGAUGCCUGGGUGACUCAGUGGUUGAGUGUCUGCCUUCGGCUCAGGGUGUGAUCCUGGGUCCAGGGAUUGAGUCCGCAUCGGGCUCCCUUUGAGGAACCUGCUUCUCCUUCUAUGUCUCUGCCUCUCUCUCUCUCUCUCUCUCUCUCUGUCUCUCAUGAAUAAAUAAAAUAAAAACCUUUAAGCAUAAAUAAAUUCUUUUUUAAAAAAUGACAAAUAAAUCAAUAUGAAGUAUAGUCUUUAUUCUCAAGUAAUAUGCACUUGAUAUGCAAUCUGAUAGGAAGACAGGGAUGCCAGUAGAUAUCACAGUGUUAAGCGGUAUCUUUGAGAUGGUAGGACAAGGUGCCCUGGGAGCUACUAGGAGGGCAACUUUCACAGAUGUGGGGAGCACACAUGGGUAUCUCCUUGGGGAAAUAUCAUUGCUGAAUCCUGCAUGAUGAGCGGAAGAUAGUCAAAAGAAGGGGUAGUAAAGGGAGUGAGGCCGAAGAAAACAUCUUCAGGCCAAAAGCACAGUAUUUACGGAGAUGAGGGUUUGGGGAACCACAAGGAAAAGGAAAGGGGGAUUGGUGAGAAAUGGGGCCAGAAGGAAGGCAGGAUUCAGAUCACGGUCUUCAGGACCAGAUUAAGGAGUCUGAACUUGACUCACAGGCUAACGUGUGAGGACGGCCUCUAAGAAUUCCUGCCUCCCUAAUUGUCAUCUAUGUUGGUUCCCAUGGCUUCUCUGGUGCUUCUUAAAGAGGCGUCAAACCAAAGAAGCCAUUUGUCAAAACCCCCAGGGAUGUGGGGAGGGCAGUUCUCAGUGUGUGUUGGGCCCUGGCAGCAACAGGAAUGGCGAGUGGGGAGCCCAGCCUUGGUGAGAGGCAGCACCCUGUGACAUGCAUUCCACCUGUGUGUGCCUGCGGCAAGGGCAGCAAAUGUAGCAGUGCUGCUGGAGCAAGAGCGGCAGAGAAGACAUCGGGAGAACAGACAUGGGGCACCCUCAUGGAUGCCCAGGGAGAAAAGGGGUGGCCAUGGUUGCACAUAGGGUGGGGGAUGAAAGGGAACAGUUCAAACCCCUAAAAAUGCACCUGCCCUAUUGUGUGAAUAUUUGUGAUGUGACCCAAGUAUUUCAUGACCCCUUCGAGGCUCACUUUCCCCUGGUAAUGUGGGGGAAGUGUGUUGGGGACUGGGGCUGACUGUCCUCCCAGGACCGGUGUCCUCGGCAGGAAAUGCUGUCACCACGCUUACCUCAGCGGGGGCAGGAGCAGAGAAGGCCACUUUUUAAAAAAAUAUUUUAUUUAUUUAUUUAUUCAUGAGAGACACACACACACAGAGAGAGAGAGAGAGAGAGAGAGAGAGAGAGGCAGAGACACAGGCACAGGGAGAAGCAGGCUCCAUGCAGGGAGCCCGACGUGGGACUCGAUCCCGGGCCUCCAGGAUCAGGCCCUGGGCUGACCGCGGCGCUAAACCGCUGAGCCAUCGGGGCUGCCUGGAAGGCCACUUUCCCUGCUACUGCCCUGCGCCCAAAUUGCUCGCAGUACUAUAACAUGAGCUGUGUAGCGGGCUUGUCUGAAAUUUCAGACAUAACAAGGAAGCUAAAAUGUGGGCAGGAAACAACCGAGCCCAUUCGGGUGCUUUCCCAACAGUCACCUACCCACCACCCGCCCUGCCUCAGGCUCCACACAGAUCCAGCAGAAGCCACUGACACUGAGGUUUUCUUACCUUGGGCCAAAUCAAAUUCCGGGGCCGGGCUCCCUCUCCCACCAGUCUCAGGAACAGAAAAGGAAUCAGUAUAGAGAUUUAUUCUCCUCUCAUCAAGAGCAAACUCCCAGCCAUCAGGAUGUUGUGUUUUUCCAGUGCUAACUACACGUCUGCCUUCCCUGCAAAUCCUGGGGCUCCUU